rnacentral:rRNA from 1 species
GACGGAGGGUGCUAGCGUUGUUCGGAAUUACUGGGCGUAAAGGGCGCGUAGGCGGCCCUGUCAGUCGGGUGUGAAAGCCCGGGGCUCAACCCCGGAACGGCACCCGAGACGGCGGGGCUGGAGACCGGGAGAGGAGGGUGGAAUAGCCAGUGUAGAGGUGAAAUUCGUAGAUAUUGGCUGGAACACCGGUGGCGAAAGCGGGUCUCUGGGCCGAUACUGACGCUGAGGAGCGAAAGCGUGGGGAGCGAACAGG